rnacentral:rRNA from 1 species
AGGAUUCCCCUAGUAACGGCGAGUGAACCGGGAAGAGCUCAAAUUUGAAAUCUGGCAGUCUUCGAUUGUCCGAGUUGUAAUCUAUAGAAGCGUUUUCCGUGCUGAACUGUGUAUAAGUCCCUUGGAACAGGGUAUCAAAGAGGGUGACAAUCCCGUACUUUACACAAUCAUCAGUGCUCUGUGAUACGUUCUCUACGAGUCGAGUUGUUUGGGAAUGCAGCUCAAAAUGGGUGGUAAAUUCCAUCUAAAGCUAAAUAUUGGCGAGAGACCGAUAGCGAACAAGUACCGUGAGGGAAAGAUGAAAAGCACUUUGGAAAGAGAGUUAAACAGUACGUGAAAUUGUUGAAAGGGAAACGAAAUUCAUGAAUCAUGUUUAUUGGACUCAGCCGUUCUUCGGUGUACUUCCUUUAAACGGGUCAACAUCAGUUUUGUCCGAUGGAUAAAGGUAGUAGGAAGGUGGCUCUCUCGGGAGUGUUAUAGCCUAUUGCUGCAUACAUUGGAUGAGACUGAGGACUGCAGCUUGCCUUUAUGGCCGGGGUUCGCCCACGUCAAGCUAGGANUGA